CUACGGGUCGCAGCAGUGAGGAAUUUUGCGCAAUGGGCGAAAGCCUGACGCAGCAACGCCGCGUGAGUGAUGAAGGCUUUCGGGUCGUAAAGCUCUGUCAAGUGGGAAGAACCUAUAUAAUGUUAAUACCAUUAUAUACUGACGGUACCACUGAAGGAAGCACCGGCUAACUCCGUGCCAGCAGCCGCGGUAAUACGGGGGGUGCAAGCGUAUUCGGAAUCAUUGGGCGUAAAGAGCACGUAGGCGGCCUGGUAAGUCAGAUGUGAAAGCCCGGGGCUUAACCCCGGAAGUGCAUUUGAUACUGCCCGGCUUGAGUAUGGGAGAGGGAAGUGGAAUCCCUGGUGUAGAGGUGAAAUUCGUAGAUAUCAGGAGGAACACCGGUGGCGAAGGCGACUUCCUGGACCAAUACUGACGCUGAGGUGCGAAGGCGUGGGUAGCAAACAGGAUUAGAUACCCCCGUAGUC
rnacentral:rRNA from 1 species